AACGAACGCUGGCGGCGUGCUUAACACAUGCAAGUCGAACGCGAAAGGGGACUUCGGUUCCUGAGUAGAGUGGCGCACGGGUGAGUAACGCGUAGGUAAUCUACCUUCAUAUCUGGGAUAACAUCGGGAAACCGGUGCUAAUACCGGAUACCUUCUUUUGUCCGCGAGUAUGGGAGAAGAAAGCUGCCCUCUGAAACAAGGUAGAGUAUGGGGAUGAGCCUGCGUACCAUUAGCUAGUAGGUGGGGUAAAGGCCUACCUAGGCGACGAUGGUUAGCGGGUCUGAGAGGAUGAUCCGCCACACUGGAACUGGAACACGGACCAGACUCCUACGGGAGGCAGCAGUGAGGAAUUUUGCGCAAUGGGGGCAACCCUGACGCAGCGACGCCGCGUGGGUGAAGAAGGUUUUCGGAUCGUAAAGCCCUGUCAGAAGGGAAGAAGUGCUGUAUGGUUAACACCCAUGCAGUUUGACGGUACCUUCAGAGGAAGCACCGGCUAACUCCGUGCCAGCAGCCGCGGUAA
rnacentral:rRNA from 1 species